AUUGAACGCUGGCGGCAGGCUUAACACAUGCAAGUCGAGCGGGGUGAUGGUGCUUGCACUAUCACUUAGCGGCGGACGGGUGAGUAAUGCUUAGGAAUCUGCCUAUUAGUGGGGGACAACAUUUCGAAAGGAAUGCUAAUACCGCAUACGUCCUACGGGAGAAAGCAGGGGAUCUUCGGACCUUGCGCUAAUAGAUGAGCCUAAGUCGGAUUAGCUAGUUGGUGGGGUAGAGGCCUACCAAGGCGACGAUCUGUAGCGGGUCUGAGAGGAUGAUCCGCCACACUGGGACUGAGACACGGCCCAGACUCCUACGGGAGGUAGCAGUGGGGAAUAUUGGACAAUGGGCGGAAGCCUGAUCCAGCCAUGCCGCGUGUGUGAAGAAGGCCUUAUGGUUGUAAAGCACUUUAAGCGAGGAGGAGGCUACUUUAGUUAAUACCUAGAGAUAGUGGACGUUACUCGCAGAAUAAGCACCGGCUAACUCUGUGCCAGCCGCCGCCGUAAGAC
rnacentral:rRNA from 1 species